UACGGGGGGGGCAAGCGUUGUUCGGAAUUACUGGGCGUAAAGGGCUCGUAGGCGGCCAACUAAGUCAGACGUGAAAUCCCUCGGCUUAACCGGGGAACUGCGUCUGAUACUGGAUGGCUUGAGUUUGGGAGAGGGAUGCGGAAUUCCAGGUGUAGCGGUGAAAUGCGUAGAUAUCGGGAGGAACACCUGCGGCGAAGGCGGGUUGCUGGGCUGACACUGACGCUGAGGCGCGAAAGCUAGGGGAGCGAACGGG
rnacentral:rRNA from 1 species